AGUGGGAGCGUGUGUGUAAGGAGAGUGCUUGUGGUUGUGGUUUGUCCUCUGUAAUAGAGUGGGACUAAAAUAACCCAGCCUGGGAUGAGGAGGAGAGCUGCACGCUAGUACAGCUCUCCAUUCUCCCAUCAACGAUUAUAGUUAAUUGCUAAUUGCACAAAUAAUAGUUGGAAGGCCUGUAAUUAAAAGCUUAAUCUUUUCUUGUUUGGGGGAGGGGAAACCCGUAGGUUUAUUCUUCUUGAUAUAGUUUGCAACAUUCAAUUACAAGGCUUACGGAAAGAAAAAAGGAAGCAAAGGCAAGACUUCUGUAAAGGAUUGAAUCCUGUUUUGUGUCUGGCAAUACUGGCUUUUUUUGUGUACUUUGGUUUUCUUGCUCAAUUUCCCCUGCUUGUCCCUAUCUAAUCAGCCCGAGAGGACACACGGAGCUAUUUCACCU
rnacentral:lncRNA from 1 species